UACAGAGGUCUCAAGCGUUGUUCGGAUUCAUUGGGCGUAAAGGGUGCGUAGGCGGCUCGCUAAGUCAGGUGUGAAAUCUCGGAGCUUAACUCCGAAACUGCAUUUGAUACUGGCGUGCUUGAGGACUGGAGAGGAGACUGGAAUUCACGGUGUAGCAGUGAAAUGCGUAGAUAUCGUGAGGAAGACCAGUGGCGAAGGCGGGUCUCUGGACAGUUCCUGACGCUGAGGCACGAAGGCCAGGGGAGCAAACGGG
rnacentral:rRNA from 1 species